CAAGUUUACGUGACUCGCUGCGCCGCUAUGUUGUAGUUCAAUUAACAACAUUAACAUUAGCCAAAACUAAUCAUGGAUGAAGGAGUCGAGUUCAUAUGUUGUGUGUUGGACUACAGCUGUCGUCACGUCUGCUAAUUGCUAAUUGGUUUAUUUCACUGACAAUCUGCGCGUUAGACCCGCCACUGCUUCAAUUUCUCCGUGACGGGCAGAGCCAGGCAAUGUAUCAGCCGUUUUCUUAUGUGCAGUGAACGAUUUAGUCCACGAGGGGCGCAGCACUGCCCAUCACACAAACCAUUGCAUCAACCUUCCAGUGGGUGGCGGUAAUGCUCCUACACUGGUGUCAAGCCGCCAUUAAACUCUGUAAAAAGAAGAAGCACCGCUCAUGUGGUGAAACCAGAGGAAAAUGGUUUGCCUAAAGUCUGGGUUUGUUUGAUUAUGGACGUGAUUGUCGUGAAAGUUGAAGAAGAACACGAUCAAAAACAAAUUCCUUUGCCAGAUGUCCAGAUUAAGGAGGAACAGAGCGUGAAACAAGAGGAAGAGCAGCUGCCACAGUUGACUCCUGUCUGCGUGAAGAGCGAAGAGUCUUCACUGUGGGACGUCCAUAUCCCCCGGAGUCCUGAGGACGUCUCAUACACUCGGCCAAUUGAAGAGGAUCCAGAAGAAGCGAGCGUCCAACAGGAGGAAGAGCGGCCGCCAAAGUUCGCUGUAGAGCCAGGGCGCAACAUGGAGGAGAAGUUAAUCAUCGCGGUUUGCAAUCGGCCCGAGCUUUACGACACCAGAUCGUACUACUAUCGGGACAGAAAAAGAGGCCGACUGGCGUGGAGGGAAGUAAGCGAGGAAAUAGGAGCGCCAGGUAAUUUAUCUCCCAUUGUAAUUAACCUGCCCUGUGCUUCAUGUUGGCCUU
rnacentral:lncRNA from 1 species